rnacentral:rRNA from 1 species
UACGGAGGGUGCGAGCGUUAAUCGGAAUUACUGGGCGUAAAGCGUGCGUAGGCGGCGCGUUAAGCCAGAUGUGAAAGCCCCGGGCUUAACCUGGGAAUGGCAUUUGGGACUGGCGUGCUGGAGUUGGGUAGAGGGGAGCGGAAUUCCGGGUGUAGCGGUGAAAUGCGUAGAUAUCCGGAGGAACACCAGUGGCGAAGGCGGCUCCCUGGACCCAAACUGACGCUGAGGCACGAAAGCGUGGGUAGCAAACAGG